GAAGAAAGUAGCUGAGAACCAGCAGCUGAAGAAAGCAAGAAAAUCUGAAUGAAGUCACAAAUGUCACCAAGGAAAGGCAGAACAGAAAAAUAACUUGAAUAUUCAAGAUGGACACAUCAAGCCUUGUGAAGAGGUGACUCCGAGACACGGAGGCACAUGCCUGUAGCCUCACCACACAGGCAGGUGGUGGUGAAUUCUACACUAACCUUGGCUACACAGUGACACACUGCCCCAAAACAGAAACAAAGAGCAAAAAGUUUCUCAGUGAACCUCAGAAAAGGUUCCUAAGGUAACAAAAGAAUCAAAAUAUGCCCUAGCUCACCCCAAAUGCCAAGAGCCUUGCUAUGUUUAGGAAGUACCUCCAUAAAAUGCUGUUUUCCCCGAAAACU
rnacentral:lncRNA from 1 species